AGACUUUUUAAUUCCAGAAACUAGAGCUGUCAUUCUACGCUCGUAGUUCAUCCCCGAUGUUCACAGCUUGAUCUAUUUCAUUUCCCCCGUCACCAGGACUCAAUAAAGGCAGGAGGAAACAUUUCCAUAGCCACUGAAAGUAUUUGGCAAGACCUCCAGCAAUCCUAUGUCAGAGGGCCAAAGAGCCGGACACGCACAAGGCACUCGUGGAGUAAACAUCUGCGGCGCCCUUCUGUUACCCAGUGCCGGUGCUUCGAGGAUCACAGCCCGUCUAGCUAAGAAGAUCAUUCAGCUCGGUCUCAGGGCCCACGAUCUCCUUCAACCAGGCUUCCUGCCCACGGUGCGGAUCGCCGGGGAACCAAGUCAGAGCCAGGGAACGGCGGGGCGAUUCCACUGCCAAUACUGGGGCUCAGGGUGCGCCCUCUUUGUCUAAACCCGAAGACCAGGCAGCAGCAUUUGCCUCCAUCAGCUGCAUUUCCUCAGGCACCUCGGGGGGCUCUGAAGCCCAGAGAAUCUGUGAGGAAGGGAGGGCCCCCCAGGGGAAGCUGAGAGCGCGUUUUCAUCCCGGGCAUCUUACCCACUCGCCCUGCGAGUGCAUUUGCACAUUCUCAUCGUCUCGGUUGACUGGAUGCUCCUAGAAAGCACAACUUGUCUGGUCUAUUUCAGGCCUGCACCCGAGCUGCUUCCAAGGGGGGCUUUUCCUCCGACGAGCUCGGAGCCCCGCGGCAGCUCGGAGAGCGUCCCCGAGCCUCUCUCUCGGGGCAGGACGCGCGCCUCCCCCUGAAUUCGCUCGCCUUUCCGGGGGGCGGGCAGAUGGGGGGGGGGCCCGUGGCGAGCGCCGCCCGCUGCUGCUUCGGCCCGGAUCUGGCUCCGCGUCGCAGCCUUGUCGCCUGGGCUUUCGGGCCGUGUUAGCUGGGGACGCCUCAGUGCCGCUCCCGCGCGGCGCCGCGGGCGUCCCACACAACCUCGCUCGCACCCACGGGAGGCUUAUAAAAAGCCGCAGCAGCUGGGCACCGGCCACCGGAGGCCGACGCGCCAAGCCUCGCCUGCCUCCCUGUAGCUCGCGCCUCCCUCCGCUUUCAGAGGCAGGAGCCGCCCUUCCCCGCUCUCCC
rnacentral:lncRNA from 1 species